UGCUCAGACUACCCAACAUCAAAGAAGACAUUGUGGGAAGGCCUGGACGCAGUUUGAACUUGAAGGGCAGGAAAUCGGGUCAUAAAAAUGUCCUGUCGUUGAGUCCGGGUAAUGGAAGAAUCACUGAGCUGACGGCUGAACAGAAAGACGGACAGGAAGAUGAAUUCCACUUUCCUCUCCACCAGUACAAUACCGGCAGGGUAACUAACCAAACAGUUCUUGGAGGAAAAAUUUUAAGUGAAACUGACAGAUACUCAGAAUUGACCAUGGUCCUGAUUUUAGACUCCUACUGAGAUCCGAGUGGAGAUGAGCCUCCCGCAGGAACAUGCGCCAGCACGGCUCUCAGAAGUUCCUCUUGGUGAUCACCCACGGAACCUCCCAGAAAGUAAGUCCCAGGUUGAAGAGGGACCUUCCCCGACAGCGUGAACCACCUCCCGAUGAAGUGCUCUGGAAAAGUUCAUUCCUCCCCCGUGCACAGAUGCCUGUGCAGAGCACAGCAGACUCUAGAAGCCAGGAUGGCGUGUCACAGACGUGCGGGCUGCAAGACAGAGGCUAACGGUCGUACUGUAGUCACACCAUUAAGCAGAAUCACACCAGCCAGUCAUGGCAGUCUCCGGCCACUCAACCCAGGGGAAGCCAGCUGCCAUGUUGUGAGUACCCUCUGGCAGCCAUGGUGGGACUUGCACAGCAAGAAACAGAGAUCUCUGGCCAAAGCUGGUGAGGAAUCCAACCCCAGGAAUGAGCUGAGCAGCAGGUCCUCCAGCCUAGUUGAGACUUGAGAGGACUGUCCUGUCAGCUGCAGCCUCACAAGAGACCCUGAGUUAAAACCACCUGCUUUGGCUGCUGCUGGGCACAUGACGCUCAGAAACUAUGUGGGAUAAUAAAGAUUGUUUUAAGCUGUAAAGAUUCUGGAGUAAUUGUUACACAGCUGUGGAUAACCAGUAUAUGCCCAAUAUUAUUGUGAACAGAAAAUAAAAAGAAUAGAAUCAUAUCCAGAUAAAACUAUCAC